UACGUAGGGCGCAAGCGUUGUCCGGAAUUAUUGGGCGUAAAGAGCUCGUAGGCGGUUUGUCGCGUCUGCUGUGAAAACCUCAGGCUCAACCUGGGGCUUGCAGUGGGUACGGGCAGACUAGAGUGCGGUAGGGGUGACUGGAAUUCCUGGUGUAGCGGUGGAAUGCGCAGAUAUCAGGAGGAACACCGGUGGCGAAGGCGGGUCUCUGGGCCGAUACUGAC
rnacentral:rRNA from 1 species